UCCAAGGAGGCGGCCACCAACGUAUCUCAACUACCAAGUGACGCCAUCCAUGUUGAUAAUAUAUUUUCCACUCCAGCUCCCCCCACUUCCCCAAACCACUGUAAAUAAGCUCAAGUUCGGCGAUCUUCGCAUCAUAGCCUGUACACGUUUCUUCUACUGAAGAGAUGGACCGUAAGUUUAAUACAUUGCCCCUGCUCUUUCUUCUCUUGGUCAUCCUCUUCUCCGCCUUCUCCCCAGUCCUCGGAGAGAAACAAGGGAAAGAUCAGAUUUAUUAUGGCCCCCCAGGCGGCGGCUACGGUUGUGCGCGCUACUGUGGCAGCGUUUGCUGCCCUUCUGCAGACCAGUCCGUUCAUUCUGUUCAGGAGAAUACCCCCGCCAACGAGUUCAAAGACGACAAGCAUCGCUGAGGAAGACACUGUUGCCACCACUGCUACGGCCACGGUUGCUACAUUGAAAUUCAGAGCAUGCUGGACUUGAAGGGCAGUCCACGUUCCUGGAACCCGAAGUUGUUUUAUCUAUGUUUUUCAUAUAUGUAAGGAAAAGCAGCAACAUCGAAUAAAAGCAGUCAUGCUAGUA